rnacentral:lncRNA from 1 species
GAAUUUUUUUAAAUCUUUGGCACUUUUACAGAUUACACUCUAUAUUGUAGAAACCUCCCCAAUUAAAAAAAAGAAAGAAAGAAACCUCCCCAAUUACAUGACUCCCUUCAUACUAGGAAGGAAUUGUCAAAAAGGUAGGAGAAGACCAAGUUCAAGUAGUACCAUAGAAUUCUAGGGAAGGUACCCUCAGAGAGAGAGGGUUCAGUAGUGUUCAUUGCUGCAGAUGAAGACUAAGAAAAGAAAGAACAUAGGCUUUGACUUAUGAAGGCUUCAGCAUUGUUUUUUCAUCCUUUCCCCAUUUCUGACAAAUUUUCCUGAUUCUUCUCUAUCUUUAGCAUUAGGGCUCUUUCCACUCCCCAUUGAGAGAAUCGCCACUAUCCCACUAUCUUAAGACAAGCCUGAAGAAGUAGGAUCAUGGAGCUCCAAGGAAGACUUCCUCAAGAACCUUAAUUUCCUUCUCCUGUCUUCAGUUGGAGAAGUCUUGUACCUAGAAAUUUCACUAACAUCUUGCACGAUGAAACUUGAAAGUGGUAGAACAUGAGGAGACGCUUCCUUAAAUCCUUAAACCACACCCUGAAAAUUCUGGAGGCCACGCUUAGAGGCACUAACUGCACAACAGUCUCAUGGCCCACUGUCACAUCACGGGCAGCAAGUUCAGUGCACCUGCUCUGGAUUCCUGGCAGAAGAAUCUAAGGACGCAGAACAAGGCUAAACGAAAUUAUGCCAACCCCGCGGUGCUGUUUUCCUUAUACUGUAUGGAAGAGAGCAAGUCACAGAUGGCACUGGUCACCAUCCCAUGAUGGAUCACCUGGCCCCUGAGUAGGUAGUUAGGUAUAGAAUCCUCAUUAUCUGACUUCUGGCUCGAUGUCCUUUUCACGGUUACAGUGUCUGCCGCAAGAAGAAAAGGAAAAUAGGUAUACAGAAAACAGAGAAGCGGCUACUUACACAUGUCAUUAGGAAGCCUAUCGAUGACUUUGAAAUUGGCUCAUAAAGGGAAAAACAGAGACUGUCCUAAUAAACUCAGUGCCUGAUGAGCAUAACUAAAUCUUUUUGCAGCCUUGGGAUUUCUAUAGUUUAAUCCUUUGUGAAAUAAAAUACACCACAAUGGCUGUAACACACCACUUUGUGACAAUCUUACCUUUGAGAAAAUACUACAUAUGUCUUUAUAAAAAUAAUUCUGGAAUACCUCUUAGUACCUGUAUGCUAGUAUUAAAAGUCAAGGUCUAUAUAUUCACAUUUUCAUGAAUAUGAAUAUCAAAUAUUUAUUGACCUGUAUUAAUUUAAUAAUGUAAAAGAUGAUGCUCUAAGAUCCUGGUAUCCUCUUUUAUCCCCACUCAAUCUGAAGCAAUACCAGAAGGAAAUUCCACUUGACAUUCUUUAAUAUAUUCAAAACAUAAAAUAAAGAAGGCAAUGAAAAUAUAGUAAACAGUAGACUCCUUUCAUUUAGAAGGGAAGGAAGAAACAUAGAGCCUGAAAGAAUCUGUGGUUGUUCUAUGAGAACUAGUCUUAGGAAAAAAAAAAAAAAAUCAACCUGGUAAGACAUAUUUACUUUCUGCAGCAUUCCUACUUGAUUGCUGACAUUCCACAAUCUCAUGAUAUUUUGAAUGCAUUAUACUCAUUCUGUUUGAAAAAGAAAUUAACAUGUAUUUAAAUAGUGCAGUUUUGUGAGGGAGAGGAACCGUGCCCAUGUGUGUUAAGCUAAUGACACUGGGUGCAGAAUGAGUCAUCGUGGUUUUUAUUUAUUCAUUCAUCCUCAGAUCCUUUUAAAAGUCUCCAAGGCCCUAAUGACCAUCAUCAUUAUCAUCAGUAAAAACUGCUUUCUGGUGAAAAGGCAAUCGGCAUUAAAUUUAGAGGCAGCAUUAAAUUAUCAGUAAAGAGGACCUGAAAUAGUACUGCACACACAACCCUGGACACAAGAUGCCGGAAAUUCGUAGAGCGCCAGUCAGGCAGUCUUCCUGAUUAAGUUUGUGACCGAGAUGUACUCUUGUCCUUUACAAGGCAAUAUCAUUUAGCUCAGGAGAAAAUAAAGUACAGGCCAGUUUCUACACUCCCGUGUUGAAGGUUAUUAAGUCAAAGAUAGCAGUCAUAACAAAGUCCUCAAUUAUGAAUCAAGUUUUAAGAAUUAUCAGCAUCAAAACUUUAUUCCAAGCAUUUCUCCUCCCUUAGAGUUUCUUGCAUGUAAUAAAGAAAGACUGGCUAGUGAGUGGGUGAGAAAAUAUCAGUGGGAAAUAUUUUGAAUUAAAC